rnacentral:rRNA from 1 species
UGGGGAAUAUUGGACAAUGGGCGCAAGCCUGAUCCAGCCAUGCCGCGUGAGUGAUGACGGCCCUAGGGUUGUAAAGCUCUUUCAACGGUGAAGAUAAUGACGGUAACCGUAGAAGAAGCCCCGGCUAACUUCGUGCCAGCAGCCGCGGUAAUACGAAGGGGGCUAGCGUUGUUCGGAAUAACUGGGCGUAAAGCGCGCGUAGGCGGAUUGUUAAGUGAGGGGUGAAAUCCCAGGGCUCAACCCUGGAACUGCCUUUCAUACUGGCAAUCUUGAGUUCGAGAGAGGUGAGUGGAAUUCCGAGUGUAGAGGUGAAAUUCGUAGAUAUUCGGAGGAACACCAGUGGCGAAGGCGGCUCACUGGCUCGAUACUGACGCUGAGGUGCGAAAGCGUGGGGAGCAAACAGGAUUAGAUACCCCCGUAGUCC